rnacentral:misc_RNA from 1 species
GAUGAAGAACGUAGCGAAAUGCGAUAAGUAAUGUGAAUUGCAGGAUUCAGUGAAUCAUCGAAUCUUUGAACGCACAUUGCGCCCGCCAGUAUUCUGGCGGGCAUGCCUGUUCGAGCGUCAUUUCAACCAUCAAGCCCUGCUUGCGUUGGGGUCCUGCGGCUGCCCGCAGGCCCUGAAAACCAGUGGCGGGCUCGCUAGUCACACCGAGCGCAGUAAUACAUCUCGCUUUGGGCGUGCGGCGGGUUCUUGCCGUUAAACACCCCCUUUUUACCAAGGUUGACCUCGGAUCAGGUAGGAAUACCCGCUGAACUUAAGCAUAUCAAUAAGCGGAGGA